rnacentral:lncRNA from 1 species
UCCAUUUGUUGUAGCCACCAUCAUCACCACUUUGCUCACCUCUGCCUAGCACAAAGGAGAACACCUUGUCAUGGACAUCUAGGAAAAACUCAAGGGAUAGGAUAUCCACAUAAGGAUGCUAAAUAUUUAGUAGGAAUAAAAUAAUGACGUCAGCCAACAAAAUGAAAAGUACUAAAUUAUUGUAACAAGAAGGGUAAACCAACAAGCUAGCAACCAUGUGGUAGAGAUGGAUGAUCAAAAGACUUUGGUAUCGCCUAUGAAGACAAAAAUAGUGCUGAGGCAUUGUAAGAGUGUUGGAGCUUAAAUAGAGAAUCCAAGAAGAAUAGCAUACAAGUCUUCAUGAUUGAUAAACUUUCCGUCCUUAAGAUGCAGCUUCAUCAGGGGCACAUGGUAUAAACUAAUAAUCCUUGUUGGCCAUCACCACCUACAGUAGUUAUGGAGAGAAGCACAAGAGAAGAUGUCAAUCUCCAUUAGCAAGGCCAAUGAGAUAGCCAGAAACAAUGCCUACCUCUCCUUUUUCAAGUCAGAUAUCAUUAUAUAAUCGAUGUUAUAUUUUAAAUAAUUUUUGACUCACCAAAUACGUGUGAUAAGAAAAAAAGAAAUAAGUUAGGUGACAAAUAAAAGAAGCAUCAAUUCUGGCCGUUGGAAUUUCCUCCCUAGUACAGACAAAAUCAAAUGACAAGGAGAAAAAAAUCAUCAGUACUAAAAUAGAAGAAAGAAAUUGAAUGUAUGGGGUUACGGUUCACACAUAAUAAGAUGUAGAGAACAAUGGACUCAGGCUGGAGAGAACGAUUGUACCUUAGGGAGAGAAUAGUACGCCGUUUUCAUAUUCUAAACUCUAGGAAGCAAAGAGAUGAGUUGGCAUAAGUCUCCAUGAAGUCUAACCAUACGAAUAUCGUGUAUGAAGGGAUGCACUGGUGCGCAGGAAUCACGGGAUCUUCAAAUGUAAUGUGGCACCAGAAGCAUAAAUAUUAAACGGUCAGCACGUCGUUGAUUCGAACUUGUAAUUUAAUUAAUCAGUCGAAUUGACUCAGCUAGCAUUAUACAGUAAAUGCCAGUUGGAUCAAUCAAUUCAGAUCUUCACAACGCGCUUCACUGAAAAGAUUGAUCCUACAGCAGCUGAGCAUCUAAGCACCGGAGCAUCCUCUUCGUAGAGAAUAAUAUCACGUUAGAGAAAAAGAAAAACACAAGUUUAGACGAGCCCUAUGAAUGCCCGGUGCUCUGGUUUUGCCGUUUCACUCUCAUUAGCGCAGACGCAAUCCUGAAAGUCUUAGAAUAGGAAUUUUGAACAGCAGAAGUUUGACGCGAGAGAACUCACAAGUUGAGGAUAUGGGGAAGGAUCCGCUUGGAUAUGCGGAAGGCUCUCCAGACAUCCGGCCGCUCGAGUGAUGCCGGCCCAGGGGGUUUCGAGGCUCACCGGCGACGGGUGAUGCCGCGCGAGAGAGGACGGCAACUCAUUUCGAAGAAGGGCGAUGACGGUAGCACUCAGUCCGAAGAGGACGCAAGCCUGCCUCACACUCGCUCGACUGAUUUUUGUCCUUUGAUGCGCGAAAGAUAGGGCAGCACUCCGACUUGUGGGCUUCUUGACCCUCGACGACUGGCAUGGACAGGAGGAGGGAG